rnacentral:tRNA from 1 species
GGGGAUGUGGGCCAGCCUGGUUAUGCUUCCAGAUUCGGGAUCUGGCGACCCGAGUUCAAAUCUCGGCAUCCCCA